AGAGACAGCAGUAGCCGCGGGAAUACGUAGGUGGCAAGCGUUGUCCGGAAUUAUUGGGCGUAAAGGGCUCGCAGGCGGUUUCUUAAGUCUGAUGUGAAAGCCCCCGGCUCAACCGGGGAGGGUCAUUGGAAACUGGGAAACUUGAGUGCAGAAGAGGAGAGUGGAAUUCCACGUGUAGCGGUGAAAUGCGUAGAGAUGUGGGGAACACCAGUGGCGAAGGCGACUCUCUGGUCUGUAACUGACGCUGAGGAGCGAAAGCGUGGGGAGCGAACAGGAUUAGAUACCCCAGUAGUCCCUGUCUCUUAUACC
rnacentral:rRNA from 1 species